rnacentral:rRNA from 1 species
CUACGGGGGGCUGCAGGCGAGAAAACUUUGUAAUGUGCGAAAGCACGACAAGGUUAAUCCGAGUGGUUUGUGCUAAACGAACCUUUUGACAGUCCUAGAAACACUGUUGAAUAAGGGGUGGGCAAGUUCUGGUGUCAGCCGCCGCGGUAAAACCAGCACCUCAAGUGGUCAGGAUGAUUAUUGGGCCUAAAGCAUCCGUAGCCGGCUCUGUAAGUUUUCGGUUAAAUCCGUACGCUCAACGUACAGGCUGCCGGGAAUACUGCAGAGCUAGGGAGUGGGAGAGGUAGACGGUACUCGGUAGGAAGGGGUAAAAUCCUUUGAUCUAUUGAUGACCACCUGUGGCGAAGGCGGUCUACCAGAACACGUCCGACGGUGAGGGAUGAAAGCUGGGGGAGCAAACCGGAUUAGAUACCCGAGUAGUC